AGUGAACGCUGGCGGUAGGCCUAACACAUGCAAGUCGAACGGCAGCACAGUAAGAGCUUGCUCUUACGGGUGGCGAGUGGCGGACGGGUGAGGAAUACAUCGGAAUCUACUUUUUCGUGGGGGAUAACGUAGGGAAACUUACGCUAAUACCGCAUACGACCUACGGGUGAAAGCAGGGGAUCUUCGGACCUUGCGCGAUUGAAUGAGCCGAUGUCGGAUUCGCUAGUUGGCGGGGUAAAGGCCCACCACGGCGACGAUCCGUAUCUGGUCUGAGAGGAUGAUCAGCCACACUGGAACUGAGACACGGUCCAGACUCCUACGGGAGGCAGCAGUGGGGAAUAUUGGACGAUGGGGGCAAGCCUGAUCCAGCCAUACCGCGUGAGUGAAGAAGGACUUCGGGUUGUAAAGCCCUUUUGUUGGGAAAGAAAAGCAGCAGGUUAAUACCCCGCUGUUCUGACGGUACCCAAAGAAUAAGCACCGGCUAACUUCGUG
rnacentral:rRNA from 1 species